rnacentral:rRNA from 1 species
GAUGAACGCUGGCGGCGUGCCUAAUACAUGCAAGUCGAGCGAACGGACGAGAAGCUUGCUUUUCUGAUGUUAGCGGCGGACGGGUGAGUAACACGUGGAUAACCUACCUAUAAGACUGGGAUAACUUCGGGAAACCGGAGCUAAUACCGGAUAAUAUUUUGAACCGCAUGGUUCAAAAGUGAAAGACGGUCUUGCUGUCACUUAUAGAUGGAUCCGCGCCGCAUUAGCUAGUUGGUAAGGUAACGGCUUACCAAGGCAACGAUGCAUAGCCGACCUGAGAGGGUGAUCGGCCACACUGGAACUGGGACACGGUCCAGACUCCUACGGGAGGCAGCAGUAGGGAAUCUUCCGCAAUGGGCGAAAGCCUGGCGGAGCAACGCCGCGUGAGUGAUGAAGGUCUUCGGAUCGUAAAACUCUGUUAUUAGGGAAGAACAUAUGUGUAAGUAACUGUGCACAUCUUGACGGUACCUAAUCAGAAAGCCACGGCUAACUACGUG